GUAUAUAUUUCACUUUUUCAUUAUAGACAUUCUAAACUCGUUUGUGAUAGAUGACAUAGACCCCCGAGGCAAAAGGCAAAGCCGGCCUUUUUCAAAGAAAAAGCGACAGCAGUCCCUACUCGAAUGAGAACAUUCAUAAAAAGGCCCAAGAAUCUACAAGAUGUGCACAGUUGGAGAAAUAAUAAAGAUGAGACAAGCGUGCACACACCCCCCCGAGAGGGGCCAGCAACAGCCUGUUCAAGUUUAUAAUACGAUAAUGAUCCUUCCGCAGGUUCACCUACGGAAA
rnacentral:misc_RNA from 1 species